GACGUAGGGUGCAAGCGUUGUCCGGAUUUAUUGGGCGUAAAGAGCUCGUAGGCGGCUUGUUGCGUCGACUGUGAAAACCCGCGGCUUAACCGCGGGCUUGCAGUUGAUACGGGCAGGCUAGAGUUCGGUAGGGGAGACUGGAAUUCCUGGUGUAGCGGUGAAAUGCGUAGAGAUCAUGAGGAAGACCAGUGGCGAAGGCGGGUCUCUGGACAGUUCCUGACACUGAGGCACGAAGGCCAGGGGAGCAAACGGG
rnacentral:rRNA from 1 species